rnacentral:rRNA from 1 species
UGGGCAACCUGCCCCUCUCUCUGGGAUAACCCCGGGAAACCGGAGCUAAUACCGGAUACUCCGGCUGGAUCGCAUGGUCCGGCCGGGAAAGGUCCGCCGGAGAGGGAUGGGCCCGCGGCCUAUCAGCUUGUUGGUGGGGUCAUGGCUCACCAAGGCGACGACGGGUAGCUGGUCUGAGAGGACAACCAGCCACACUGGAACUGAGACACGGCCCAGACUCCUACGGGAGCA